GAGGAACAGCUGCUCCUUCUGAGCAGAGCCAUCCUGCCUCAGCUACUCAGGGGCUAAACAAACAUGCGGCCAAAGAAAGCCAACAGAAAGUAACACGGCGAGAAAGGAGUGCAGGUCUGCCCGCAUGUUCUGGCUGUACACAGCAGAGUGAAACCUGGAUGCACUGCAUGGCAUAUUUUAAGUUACUGGAAACAAAAAUCCCUACCUCACUGGCAUACAUCAUACCUUUGUGAAUUAGCCACUCUGCCUUCCCAUUCCUGCUUCAGAGGCCAACUUCUUUUCUGCUACAGGACAGACCUCUUCUGCUCCUUAUAGCUGUUUAGUGUAAGCGUGAAAGGAUCAGCACUGGCAGCAGCCUUGUCAGGAAUCUGGUUUGGAUGGAGCCUGUCCACACUGACACGGAUGUGACUGAUCUCGCCAAGCUGAGAAGAAACCUGAGGAAACAGCUACAGCAGCCUUUGCAGACCAUGGGGGCACACCUGAAGUCUAAGCCAGCACUGCUGGCUGCCACGGAGUGCAUUACCAUGCCAUACUGCCCAUAGCCCACAUCCUUCACACAUGGAGAUGGAAAGCUUCUUAGAACACCCUUGGAAAGAGGGAAGUACCUUCCAUGAGCUGUCAUCAAGUCUGUCCUUGUGGGAGCCCAUCUUGGUAUGAGAAAUAUUUGGGAGAUUCUGAUGACAAUCUGGAAAUGAUGUAACUGAAGAAAUUCUGAUGAAAACAAAUGCUAAUGACAGCGUCUGAAAUUUGUCGCUUGACACAAAGCAGACACUGAUGGCAGAGAAUAACAGACUGCAGCUGGAAAUCUGGAAUCUCUCUAUGACCUUAAGUUAAAGCCCAAGCACUGUACACUGCACAAAGACACUGCUACAAAACUGGUACAGAGCCAUCCUCCACAGCCCACGGCAGGCCUGUCUGAAAUCAGGUAUGUCCCUGAUGGGACACUGCUGCUCCGUUUGUAGGGGCAGACACGAAGGACUUACGCCACUCUUGGCUGCACCAUUCCCUUGAGGGACACAUAAGGGUCCUUUCACCUCAUUUCCCUGAUGGCAAACGCUGGGCCCUCAGUAUCUGAGAGGUUAACAUAAAUCGGUUUUUUUU
ensembl:lncRNA